UUUUUAUAGACGGAGAGCGUAACUAAUUGACAGCGACGUUUGUAACUGCCUGGUAGUGGGCCAUUCGGGGUCAUGCGGAGUUUGUUACGGAGAGUAGUGGCGUCAGGGGGCCGUUCAGGGCCACGUAGAGUUUGUUAUGGAGAGUGGCGUAGUGUCCAUUAUCGCAACUUGCCAGAAAGUGGUGGAGCCAUGUGGAAUCUGUUACAGAGAGUGGAGUAGGGUAGUGGCCAUUGUCGUGACUUGCCAGAGAGUUCGGGCCUGACGGUUGAAGUUCGAUUGGGACGUCUGAUGGAGUGGAAUGGCUCUCUGUUUCAGCAAUCUAGAAGAAACUCAGAUAUUUUCGAGGUUGCUGACGAGUCUACUAUUGUUGGAUGCCUUGGGCGCUGAUACUAUAGGUGGGAGUCAUCUGCUGUAGAAGCUUGAAUGGAGACUUUCUGUUGGUGAAGUCCGAUAGAAGUCCGAUUGCCAGAGAAGUUCGUCUGAGAUUUGCCUGAUGUGAAAGCUCGUCU
rnacentral:lncRNA from 1 species